ACUGACCCAGAGUCAGAUGAGGUCCUUUAUCUACUGACCCAGAGUCAGAUGAGGUCCUUUAUCUACUGACCCAGAGUCAGAUGAGGUCCUUUAUCUACUGACCCAGAGUCAGAUGAGGUCCUUUAUCUACUGACCCAGAGUCAGAUGAGGUCCUUUAUCUACUGACCCAGAGUCAGAUGAGGCCCUUUAUCUACUGACCCAGAGUCAGAUGAAGCCCUUUAUCUACUGACCCAGAGUCAGAUGAGGUCCUUUAUCUACUGACCCAGAGUCAGAUGAGGUCCUUUAUCUACUGACCCAGAGUCAGAUGAGGUCCUUUAUCUACUGACCCAGAGUCAGAUGAGGCCCUUUAUCUACUGACCCAGAGUCAGAUGAAGCCCUUUAUCUACUGACCCAGAGUCAGAUGA